rnacentral:rRNA from 1 species
UACAGAGGGUGCGAGCGUUGUUCGGAAUUAUUGGGCGUAAAGGGCGCGCAGGCGGCUCUGAAAGUCAGAUGUGAAAGCCCCGGGCUUAACCUGGGAAUUGCAUUUGAUACUCUGGAGCUUGAGUACGGGAGAGGAGAGUGGAAUUCCCAGUGUAGAGGUGAAAUUCGUAGAUAUUGGGAAGAACACCGGUGGCGAAGGCGGCUCUCUGGACCGUAACUGACGCUGAGGCGCGAAAGCGUGGGGAGCAAACAGG